CCUACGGGUGGCAGCAGUGGGGAAUAUUGCACAAUGGGCGCAAGCCUGAUGCAGCCAUGCCGCGUGUGUGAAGAAGGCCUUCGGGUUGUAAAGCACUUUCAGCGGGGAGGAAGGCGUUAAGGUUAAUAACCUUGUCGAUUGACGUUACCCGCAGAAGAAGCACCGGCUAACUCCGUGCCAGCAGCCGCGGUAAUACGGAGGGUGCAAGCGUUAAUCGGAAUUACUGGGCGUAAAGCGCACGCAGGCGGUCUGUCAAGUCGGAUGUGAAAUCCCCGGGCUCAACCUGGGAACUGCAUUCGAAACUGGCAGGCUAGAGUCUUGUAGAGGGGGGAAGAAUUCCAGGUGUAGCGGUGAAAUGCGUAGAGAUCUGGAGGAAUACCGGUGGCGAAGGCGGCCCCCUGGACAAAGACUGACGCUCAGGUGCGAAAGCGUGGGGAGCAAACAGGAUUAGAUACCCUUGUAGUC
rnacentral:rRNA from 1 species